rnacentral:rRNA from 1 species
AUGGCGAGGAAAAGAGAGACUGCGUGUGAGAGGGCUGUUGAUGCCAAGUUGAGCGGUGAAGGAGUAGGCCGGCGUCGACAUUUUUUCUCCGGAGGAGUCGCGAGAUUGGAGGAGGCCGGCGGUGGCGUUCUUUCUCGGGAGGAGUCGCGGGAUUGGGGCGAGGGGUUAGGGAAAGAUGGGGCGUGGGAGGUGGGGCUUGUGUACGUGCCCCUUUUCCACUCCUCGGACGGCUACGCGCUCAAGGUGGAGGUGCUCGCCGGAGCGGUGCUGACUGGCGACUCUGUGGUGGGAAAGUCCAAUCUACUCUCCCACAUCACCCGCAAGGAGUUCUGCCUCGACUCCAAGUCCACCAUCGGCGUCGAGUUCGCUGCCCGCACGCUCCACAUCCAGAUUAUUGCUGCCAAACAAGACGAGCUAGCUAGUAAAUCGAUUGCUAACAAAUCAACUCUGAGUGAAAAGUUGAUGCUCUUGUUAUACUCAGGACAGAUCAUUCAUUCAGAUUUAACAAGAAGCUAUUCUCCUUAUCAAACGCUCCUUUCCCUUGCUCUGCACCUCUCUCUGCUGCUGCUCUUCUUUUCCUGCUACUCGCUGCUGCUCUUCUUUUCCUAA